rnacentral:rRNA from 1 species
UGAACGCUGGCGGCGUGCCUAAUACAUGCAAGUCGAGCGAACAGACGAGGAGCUUGCUCCUCUGACGUUAGCGGCGGACGGGUGAGUAACACGUGGAUAACCUACCUAUAAGACUGGGAUAACUUCGGGAAACCGGAGCUAAUACCGGAUAAUAUAUUGAACCGCAUGGUUCAAUAGUGAAAGACGGUUUUGCUGUCACUUAUAGAUGGAUCCGCGCCGCAUUAGCUAGUUGGUUAGGUAACGGCUUACCAAGGCAACGAUGCGUAGCCGACCUGAGAGGGUGAUCGGCCACACUGGAACUGAGACACGGUCCAGACUCCUACGGGAGGCAGCAGUAGGGAAUCUUCCGCAAUGGGCGAAAGCCUUACGGAGCAACGCCGCGUGAGUGAUGAAGGUCUUCGGAUCGUAAAACUCUGUUAUUAGGGAAGAACAAAUGUGUAAGUAACUAUGCACGUCUUGACGGUACCUAAUCAGAAAGCCACGGCUAACUACGUG